CUCAACAAGAGCUAUCACCCAUCACCAGCUAAAGACAUCACACAUACUCCAGAGCUUCCAGAGUCUCCAGACUAGCCCAUGACUAAGAUACAGAUGUGGUAUAUAAAACUGACAGCGGACACGUCAUUAAAUUGAACACAGAAACAAACGCUACCACAUUGUUAUUGGAAAACUCCACUUUUUCUUUUGAAGAAUUCAUUGGAAUUCCUGUGCUGAUUGCAUCAAAUUGGUAGAUUUGUUUGGGUAA